rnacentral:rRNA from 1 species
GUGGGGAAUAUUGGACAAUGGGCGAAAGCCUGAUCCAGCCAUGCCGCGUGUGUGAAGAAGGUCUUCGGAUUGUAAAGCACUUUAAGUUGGGAGGAAGGGCAGUAAGUUAAUACCUUGCUGUUUUGACGUUACCAACAGAAUAAGCACCGGCUAACUUCGUGCCAGCAGCCGCGGUAAUACGAAGGGUGCAAGCGUUAAUCGGAAUUACUGGGCGUAAAGCGCGCGUAGGUGGUUCAGCAAGUUGAAGGUGAAAUCCCCGGGCUCAACCUGGGAACUGCCUCCAAAACUACUGGGCUAGAGUACGGUAGAGAGUAGUGGAAUUUCCUGUGUAGCGGUGAAAUGCGUAGAUAUAGGAAGGAACACCAGUGGCGAAGGCGACUACCUGGACUGAUACUGACACUGAGGUGCGAAAGCGUGGGGAGCAAACAGGAUUAGAAACCCUAGUAGUCC